AGCUGAUUUUUGCAACGACGGGGGCGAGAAUGCAGCAUCGCAGAGUUCAUGGCGAGGACCUGGUGCACCUAGUGCUGUGCAGCAAAGCAUCAGGUAGCGCUUCGGACGGGUGACGAUAUUCCGGAAGUAGCUAAUGCACCCUCCUCUCACACACACAUGAUUCGUCUUAGCAUGAGAUCGAUGCUGGGAACUGAAGGAAGGAGCGCAAGAGAAUAAAGAGGAGUUCUUUGAGUGUGUGGAUCAGUCGUUACCUGAAGCCGCCAUUGCUUCCAUGGUCUUCAGACCUGAACCAUAGGAUUGACAUGGUGGACCGUGAAGAAGCAGGACAAGGCCGUGGACAACACUGAACAUCCACAGUUCCUGCAAGAUUUAUCAUUUAAACAGAUGUAAAGCCUAAAAGUGUUUAAAAUUAAAAAGUGCUGAGCAAGUGACCCCUGAAAGUCCUGGUGGACUGUGAGAGAGCAAGACAAGGCUGAAGUGAACAACAGUGAGCAUCCAUUGUCAUUUUGUAUCCAUCAGACAAUCUUUGUGUGUUAUGUUUUGUAAAGUGCAUUAAACUCGCUCCCCGACAACAA